UUUCAACAUUCAACCUUUCAAAGUGCACCACGUGGGAAGUGGCAGCUCCUCGGUGCUCCCGCGCCGGCCUGGACAUCUAGGAAGGAGCAUCUUAUCUAGCAGGUGUGCCCAGAACGGUCAUCAGCCUCUCGCAGACCAGUGACAACGUGACCUGGCAUGCCUCUCCCC
rnacentral:lncRNA from 1 species